rnacentral:tRNA from 6 species
GGCCAAGCGGUAAGGCAGCGGUUUUUGGUACCGCGCAUCGGAGGUUCGAAUCCUUCCA